GGCAAUAUUGAAGCGGCUGUGAAACGGUGAUCGGGCGAGUGACGGAGGUUGCUUCAUAUUGCAAUACAUUAUUCUCCCUGCCCCCUGACUGGUGUGACCAGGGCAGGCAGGGUUGUGCAAACCUUGGCUGGGAGCCCAGGCACGCUGACAUCAUGAGCUGUUUCAUCACCUCGCAUUUGGUUGCAAGUAUAAAAUGCCCCGCAGCAGCAGAAGUUAAGCGAUAUUUGCAAUGAAAAUAACCUUCUGAUUGCAUUUGAACGAUCCAAACCAACGUGGCUCAUAAUUAAGGCAACGUGCACAUUUAAAGGAGGAACCCUUCUUGGUUUCCCUCUGGGGCUGAUUUGCUCCAGUUUCAGCUACUUUGCUAGAAGAAAUCUCUUGACUUGUGGGCUGUGGCUUCGAUCUUGCUUUGUGUUCACAAUAACUUGACUAUUUUAGCCUGCGGAGUGAGAUGUCAUUUCCUUCGGACGUUGCGACCGACCACAGCCUCUUGUUUCCUAGUCUGGCUGAUGUAAUGUGCAUCGAAGUGGAUCACUACAUGCUUUGAAAAAAGAUGAAGCUUUUAACUUCUUUGCUGGACUGCCUUUGGAAAGAUUCUGAGUUGAACAGGAAAUAGCAGAACAUUGAAAAUCUGUGUCAGCCAUGAGUUCACUAACAAUAAAAUCCUGGUGUCUGUCAUAUGCUCUUUACUCUUUAAAAAAAAUACUGCCGUUCCUGGAAUCUGGAACAAAGGCUGAAAUGUUGGAAGAACUCAACCAGUCAAGCAGCACCUGCGGAAAAGAGAAACCAGAUAUUGUUUCUGGUCAGAACUAGGGGGAGUGAGGAGAGGUGUCGGUUUUGAAAUGGAGAAAUAAGGCACUGCAGGUGCUGGUUUACAAAAAGGACACAAAGCACAGGAGUAACUCAGCGGGCUAGGCAACCUCUGUGGAGAACAUGGAUAGGCCACAUUUCAGGUCCGAAGAAGGAUCCCGACUCAAAACGUCACCUAUUCAUAUUCUCCAGCGAUGCUACCUGACCCGCUGAGUUACUCCAGCACAUUGUGUCCUGUAAAGACACCAGUUUGAAGAAGGGUCCCGACCCGAAACAUCAUCCAUUCCUUCUCUCUGGAGAUGCUGCCUGUUCCGCUGAGUUACUCCUGCUUUUUGUGUCUAUCCUCGGUUUAAACCAGCAUCUGCAGUUCCUUCCUACACAUUGUGUCCUUCUCCAUUGUGAAACCAGCACUGGAUGGAGAAAUAUCUUGCUUGGCUGACUGAGUUCUACCAGCAUCUCCGGUUUUGCUCGUUAUUCUGUUUUACUAUUUAUCUUUACGAGCUCAAGCUUUAAUCUCGCUACCCUUCUUUAUAGAAUGCAAUAGUUUGUAACUGAAUCAUCACCACGUUAAAAGUCUUCUGCUGUUGAAAUACAAUUUUGCUUGCCAAUUUUUAAUUCCAGUUUCCCCAGGCCAUAUUGAAAUUGGUCUUUUUCCAGUGAAGAUGUUUGCCUUGCAGCAUAGCUGUUUGAAACCAUAAGAUGAUAUGCUCGCUAUUUGCUAGAUGUUCCCCCAAUGACACAAAGUGCUUGAGUAACUCAGUGCGCAGUUACACAGGUUACUCUAAACUCAGGCAGAAUCCAGGGAGAACAUGAAUAGGUGAUGUCUGAAGAAGGGUCCUGACCCAAAACGUCAUCUAUCCAUGUUUUCCAGGGAUAUUACCUGCACUAUGUGUCUUUUUUGUGUAAACCAGCAUCUACAGUUUCAUGUUUCUGCUUUUUUAGCCUCUUAAUCAAGUUAUCUGUUUAAUCCUUUGCCGAAGUAUUGUUAGUAAGUUUGUCUCCCGCUGGUUAGGCACAGGGAAAAUAAACAGAGUUCACUGGUUCGGAUAGCUCCCGACGACCGAUGCUCAAAAUCUCAACUUCAUGUGUAGUCCUCACACCAUGCAGCUACACAGCCUGUUAAUGUUACUGCCCGGAUUGCCACAUUAGUAGUGCUCAUUCUAACAGGUACCCAGCUCCUGCAGAAGACAGCCGAGCAAAGCUUUCAGGAGUAGAGGUACAGGAUUAGCGGCUACACAGAAAAACAAACUUUCAUAGAUUAUUUUUUAAAUCAGACUGUUUUACACCUUCCCGAGCAGAGAAUACUUAAGAAAUUUGAAGGAUACGAGAUGGUUCUGGAAAUGUGACGACUCUUGAGUACUGCCUCAGUGUAAUUUACUAUUCAUACUUGUACUUAAUAAUGCUUGUGUACAGUAAGAGUUUACUGAAUAUGCAAAAAAAAAGGAAUUUCACUGUGCCGAAGUACAUGUUACAAUAAAGUACCAUUGAGAAAGAAACAAAUGGAAGUUACCAGUGAGCUAAAUGAGGAGAAUAAAUUGGUAUCUAUCAGCAUUUUACCAUGAUCCCCGAGAUCUAUAGCAAUGCAACAAUUUCCCUCAAGGGUUUAUGUUAAGAAGGUACCUGUAUAUAUGGCAGUAAAUGGACAUCCUGUCAGUCUUCAUCAGAGGAACCGAUGGUCAUCUCAACGUGGUUUGUCAAGAAUUCCAACAGUCAAGAGCGUUUUAUUGUCAUUUGUAUUGGAAUGGAAGAAUGCAAAGAGUACUUGAGACAGCAUAACAGUUUGUAUUCACAGUACUCAGUACACAAUAUAAUAAACAAACUAAAAGAUACGUUCAAUGAAUAAAAUAAGCAAUAUAGCACAAAGCAAAACAAAGCCCCAAGUCUCAGGGUGGUGUGGGUCUCUGAUGAUGCUGGCUGCCUUUUAGAGGCAACGCCUCUUGUGGAUCUCUUUGACGGUGGACUGUGAUGGACCGGGAAGUGUUGAAAUACAUGAUUACAAUCGAACCAUUCACAGUGUACAGAUAAAUGACGUUUUACGUUGGCCUUCAUGGCAAUUCACCAGUUACUGCAGUACAAUAAUGGCACACGCAUCUUACAUUUCUUAAGCCAGCUCUGGACAAGGUGCAAAGUGGAAUGGCUCACCAUUAUACUUCCCUAAUAAACUCAUCCAAUUAAUAUUACUUCCCUUCCUCUGAGGAAUUUUGUCACCCACCAACUUCUGGUGCACAGCAUGCCACGUUGAUUUGAGAGCUGUUUAACUCAUCACCUGUGUCAUCGUCUUUCCUGUCCAUCAUCUAUGUUUCAAAUGUUCGGUCAGGCUCUUGCACAGUGGACAGCCUUCUCAUUUGCCACUGCUAGAUCUUCCUUACAGCAUUGUUCACCAAUGGCCUGUGUAGGAAGGAACGACAGAUGCUUGUUAAAACCAAAGAUAAACACAAAAAGCUGGAGUUACUCAGCGCAACAGGCAGCAUCUCUGGAGAAAAGGAAUAGGUGACGUUUCAGGUCAAGACCCUUCAGUGGGAGUCAGGGGAAAGUGAAAUGAGAAAUAUAGAUGGUGAUGUAGAGAGAUAUGCAAAAAAGUAACUAUGAUAAAGGAAAAAAGCCAUUGUUAACUGUGGCCUAGGUGAGAACGAGUACAGACAAGGAGACUCAACAAGACGACUUUGAAACUGGUACAACUUGGGUGGGGGAGCGAUGGAGAGAGAAUGCAAGGUUUAUUAGAAAAAUCAAUAUUCACACCCCUGGGUUGUAAGCUGCCCAAACGAAAUACGAGGUGCUGUUCCUCCAAUUUGCAUUUGGCCUCACUCUGUUAAUGGAGGAGGCCUAGGACAGAAAGGUCAGUGUGGGUAAGAAGGAACUGCAGAAGCUGGUUUAAACCGAAGAUAGACACAAAAAGCUGGAGUAACUCAGCAGGACAGGCAACAUCUCUGGAGGGAAGCAAUGGGUGACGUUUCGGGUCGAGACCCUUCUUCAGACUCAGUGUGGGAAUGGGGAAUGAGUUUUUGGCAACCGGGAGAUCAGGUAGGACCAGGCAAACUGAGGGAAUGUGUUCAGUGAAACCAUCAUCCAGUUUACACUUGGUCUCGCCGAUGUAUAACUCAGUUCCAUAGGUUGCAGAGUUCCAUUGGAAAACUUCUCAGUUGCCUACCUUUGAUGAAUUGUUUGAUUGAUUGAAAGUUACAGCAUGGAAACUAGCCGUUCAGCCUACAAAGUCUCCACCGACCACUGAUCGGCCAUUCACACUAGUUCUAUGUUAUCCCACUUUCCCCCCACACACUAGGGGGAAUUUAGAGGCCAAUUAACCUGCAAACCUGCAUGUCUUUGGGAUAUGGGAGGAAGCUUGUUUUUCUCCCUGUGGGAGUGGAGGGCAAGCCCUGCCUGAUCUGCUAUGUCUGUUCUCCCACACUGCCGCUCACAACUCUCAUGGUUUGUUAUCUAUGUUCUCACUCGCCAACUUCUCAAUGACCAGAUAACCGUGUUUUAUAGUUUCUCCUCAUGGUCAUCCCUCCCCCACACAUUCUGCAGAUUUAUAAGCAUUUGUUUUUAAUCAUUCUCAGUUCUGACAAAAAGUCUCAGACCUGAAAUGUUGACUCCGUUUCACUUCCCACAGAUGCGGUCUGACAUGAUGAGUAUUUCCAGCAUUUUCCAUUGUUGCUGUUGAACAUAGAACAGUAAAGCACAAGAACUGGCUUUCGGCCCACAAUGUUUGUGCUGAACUUGAUGCCAAGUUAAAUUGAUCUCAUUUGCCUGCACAUGAUCUAUAUCCCUCCGUUCCUUGCAUAUUCAUGUGCCUAUCUAAAAACCUCUUAAACAUAUCUUAUCUUCCUCCAUGAAGGUAGAUAAAAAUGCUGGAUAAACUCCAGGGGUGAGGCAGCACCUAUGGAGCGAAGGAAAAGGUGAUGUUUCGGGUCGAGACCCUUCAUCCAUGAUCACCCUUGGCAAUGCAUUCCAGGCCCCCAAACUAUCUAAACCUCUUUUCCAGUAGAUUUAUUAUUUCAUUUGAAGAUUAAUUAAUUUGCUUUUCGUUCCUUUUUUUUUAAAUCACCUUGCA